rnacentral:rRNA from 1 species
UAGGGAAUCUUCCGCAAUGGACGAAAGUCUGACGGAGCAACGCCGCGUGAGUGAAGAAGGAUUUCGGUUCGUAAAACUCUGUUGUUAGGGAAGAAAAAAUGUAUAGUAACUAUAUACAAAAGAGACGGUACCUAACCAGAAAGCCACGGCUAACUACGUGCCAGCAGCCGCGGUAAUACGUAGGUGGCAAGCGUUGUCCGGAAUUAUUGGGCGUAAAGCGCGCGCAGGUGGUUUAGAAAGUCUGAUGUGAAAGCCCACGGCUCAACCGUGGAGGGUCAAUGGAAACUAAUAAACCUGGGGGCAGGAGAGAAAAGUGGAAUUUCUAGGGUAGCGAUGAAAUGCGGAGAGAAUAGGAGGAACACCGGUGGGGGAAGCGGCUUUUUGGCCUGCAACUGACACUGAGGCGCGAAAGGGUGGGGAGCAAACAGG